ACCCGUCACGUCGGGAGAGACCGGCCUUACCGCCGGCGCCGAAGGAGCAACCGCCCCGGAAACUCUCAGGCAAAAGGACCGCGUGACGUCU
rfam:Bradyrhizobium elkanii strain TASWS1015 Contig179, whole genome shotgun sequence.